UCCGGGUUUCGCCCGGCAGUCUCCCUAGAACAUUCAUCUUUCGAAUCCGUACCACUAGCAUGUCAAGCCUUGGUAAGGUUCUUCGCGUUGCAUCGAAUUAAACCACACGCUCCGCCGCUUGUGCGGGCCCCCGUCAAUUCCUUUGAGUUUUAGCCUUGCGGCCGUACUCCCCAGGCGGGAUGCUUAAAGCGUUAGCUGCGGCACGGGGGGGGUCGACACCUCCCACACCUAGCAUCCACCGUUUAGGGCGUGGACUAC
rnacentral:misc_RNA from 1 species